rnacentral:lncRNA from 1 species
CAAAUUUGUUCUUUGUUAUUUGAACUAGGCCUGAGCUCACUGCUAUUGGUUGCUGGAGAAGCCAAGCCUGGAGUCUGAAGUUAACAUUUUCAACCCUCAUCUGACAGAACAUAAUUAGAGGAGAAGCCGCACCCCAGGGUGACAUUUGAGUCUCGAGAGCUUUCAAUCCCAGUGUUGGAUUGAAUUUCAGUUUCUUUCUUGCCACGCUGCCAAUUUGUACUGUUGUAAACUGACCAGCCUGUGCACUCUGAAAAGCAAGCUACAGUUCAGCUGCUUUUCAAAGACCCAUUGAAAGCCCAGUGCUUGUAAAAGGAUGUGUAAGGGGCAGCGUCAGCUGGCCCCUCAGGCGAUGGCCUGCGAUGAUAAAAUGCUUUGCAGCUUAAAUUUCCACCAAGUGUUUUAAAACAUUGGUGUUUGUUUCAGGCCUUGUGUAAUUCUUUGUUAUCAGCAACACAGUCAUUCUUUUUACUCUUAUGAUCAGAUCAUGAGUCUCUUGCACAACCAGCCCAGGAGCCCUGUAGGGAUGAAGACUAUUAACCUCAGCCUUGUUUCAUGAGCAACCAAGGCCUCAUUGGAUAGCCAUCUGGGAGACCUGUGCAGGCUGCCAAGCCAACGGCAGCACUUCCUUGUCAAUCUUUGGCACAUGCUGCCAGGAGGCCCUCUUCCAAGCCUUUGAGAAACAGGAAUUCAACCCCAACUAUCCCUUAGGAAGCCAGUGGAUAUUGUUCCCAAUGGAAAAAACAUCAUGACAAAAAUCAGCUCUGGCCAGAAGCAGAAGAAAACAAGGGCUGGUCACCUCUCCUUGCCUACUGCAUGAUGUGCACCAUGUAACCUCAAAGUUCAACUUGUGGAGGUGAGGCUGUAGCUCAGUGAUAGAGCUCUUGCCUAGCACAUGUAAGGCACUGGAUUCAAUCCUCAGCACCACAUAAAACUAAAGUUAUUGUGUGCAUCUAUAAAUAAAAAUAUUUAAAGUUCA